AAAAUCUUUUACCUAAAAGAACACCUAUAAUAAAUUCCCCCUUCUCCAAUAUGUUUGUCCUCAAACAUGAGAAAAUACACAUAUAUGUACAAAAACAUUAAACGUAAAGAAAAUAUAUACAAUAAUCAUGAAGAAUAAAUUGAUAUACACAAGAAAAUGCAUAGAUAAAGAUAGAAUUUUUUGCAAGAUAAGAUGAAAAAUUCAAUAUUAGACAAAAUUGCUAGACUAAGAAAAUUGCCAGAUUAAGAAAAUUGCCAGAUAAGAUAUGAAAAGCAAGACUAAAAAUGAAAAAUAAGACAAGACAUAUGCAAAGAAGAAUUCUAGACUGAGAAUUUCAUAAAAAAAACAAAUUUUUUGGCUGUAUGCUCCUUGUAUAAGGUGGUCAGCCCUAUACAAGUGCAGGGUGUGAAGUUGAAUGACCAGUCCACAUCCAAAUGGUUUUUAACAUUAAUAUAUACUUUUAAAACAAAAAUGUAACAUACAAAAAAAAAAAUACUAGCUAGUAUUAUGAUAAAAGUACAAACAAAACAUCCAAAAGCAUAUUUACAAUACCUGUAUAUAUCUUCUUACAUUAACUUUAUUCUAUAUACAUGUCAUUCAUUAUUUGCCAAUCUAUGUGGCUAUACUCAAUAAUAUUCUCAUUUAUACCAAUCUAUAUUCUCAAUUAUACCAAUCUUUAUUCUCAUUUACCUAGGCGGAUCCAGGGGGAGGGGGGUUUGGGGUGCCCGGGCCCCCCCCCCUUUUGUGGGAAAAAUUUUGUUGAUUAUAUAGAGAAUCAUUGAAGCAUGACUGGAGUUGGCCCCUCCUUAGAUAAGUCAGAUAAGAUAAGUGGCUUAAUAAAAAUAGUAGCUACAAUUCAUUAUUACAUAAUAUAAAACACUAUCAUAUUUGACAAAUGUACAUGUACUAUUCACACAUUUAUCUUCUCCUCAUACUUAUUUCAAUUUUGUACUGAAUAAUACAUUUAUAAAGUUAUUAAUUGACGCAUUUAACAGACUAUCAAACAUAUCCCACUCUGGUGCAAUGACUGGAUUCCUGUAUCCCGACAAAUAUUCUGUUGUACCAUCUAUGUUGUAUCUAAUUUCAUGUAUUUUUCCAUCAGAAGCUAUUUGAAAACUGCAGUCACAUUGAAUUUCCUUUCCUAAUCUUUUCUCCAUAGCAUAAUGAAUGUCUUGUUGUAAAAGAGCUUGUUUGAAACGUUACUUAUGAUCUAUUUAAACUUGUCGUGCAGUAUUUGGUGCUGAAGUCAUUGAUUCAUAUUUUGUAGUAUUUUUAGAUUUAAUUAAAAAGUAUGGUCGGUUGUUAACAAUUCUUAUAGCUAAUUAAUAACUGUUGAUGUUCAAUUCUUUGAUCUUGUCCAUUGAUGGUUUCAGUUGGAGUGCUUAUGUCGGCUGUGACGUUAGUUGAAAUAUAUUGUACACUAUUAACAGCUGGAUCUGGUUUUGUGAAACAUUUGUGUUUAUUAUGCUGUAAUUACCAUUUUCUUUUCUUACCACUCAUUGUACGUUGUGCAUGAAAUUCUCGUAUUAGUUUUGCUGGGACCUUGCAUGGAAAAUACCAUUCUGUGUUUCUUGAUUUAUCGGUAAACGUAAGUUUAUUAUAUAAUGUACCAUUACCCCUAAUGAUAACACUUGUUGAAUCUCCUCUUCUAUGAAUGCUUUGCACUUAUUGUUCUUACAAUCCUGACACGAUGGUUUGUUGUCUUUUACUGGUGCAUUUACGGUUGAAUCUCCUGAAGGGCCUCUUAUUUGUUUCACUAUUUUGUGGUGGUUGUUGUUUUUUUUCCAUCCAUCCAAGCUAUUAAAACAGUGAUGCUGAUGCUGUAUAUGGAUCACCAUCUAAAAUAAGUCUUUUAGCCCUUAAAUACAAUCUAAUAAUUCUCACUAGGUUAUUUUUUA
rnacentral:lncRNA from 1 species